rnacentral:piRNA from 1 species
UUCUUGAAAACCAAUUGAACGAAAUGUGCCA